GGGGGGGGGGGGGGGGGGGGGGAGGGGGGGCGGGGCGGGCGGGGGGGGCGGGCGGGGGGUUUCGGGUGGAGGGCUGGAAUUCUUGGUGGCGGACGGGGGAGUAACGCGUGGGCACCCUGCCCUAUACGGGGGGAUAGCCGCUGGAAACGGCUGGUAAUACCGCAUAAGUCGGCGAGACCGCAUGGUUUUGCCGGGAGAUGAGCAAUCAGGUAUAGGAUUGGCCCGCGUCCGAUUAGCCAGGUGGCAGGGUCAAAGCCUACCAAAGCAACGAGCGGUAGCCGGACUGAGAGGUCGGACGGCCACAGUGGGACUGAGACACGGCCCAAACUCCUACGGGAGGCAGCAGUGGGGGAUAUUGCACAAUGGAGGAAACUCUGAUGCAGCGACGCCGCGUGAGUGAAGAAGUAUUUCGGUAUGUAAAGCUCUAUCAGCAGGGAAGAUGAUGACGGUACCUGACUAAGAAGCCCCGGCUAACUACGUG
rnacentral:rRNA from 1 species